UACGUAGGGUGCGAGCGUUGUCCGGAAUUACUGGGCGUAAAGAGCUCGUAGGUGGUUUGUCGCGUUGUCCGUGAAAACUCACAACUCAAUUGUGGGCGUGCGGGCGAUACGGGCAGACUGGAGUACUGCAGGGGAGACUGGAAUUCCCGGUGUAGUGGUGGAAUGCGUAGAUAUCGGGAGGAACACCAGUGGCGAAGGCGGCGUCCUGGACCGGUGCUGACGCUGAGGAGCGAAAGCGUGGGGAGCGAUCCGG
rnacentral:rRNA from 1 species